rnacentral:rRNA from 1 species
CCUACGGGUGGCAGCAGUGAGGAAUAUUGGUCAAUGGCCGGAAGGCUGAACCAGCCAAGCCGCGUGAAGGAUGAAGGUGCUAAGCAUUGUAAACUUCUUUUGUCAAGGGAUAAAAUCAGGCCCGUGAGCCUGAUCGAGGGUAUCUGAAGAAAAAGCAUCGGCUAACUCCGUGCCAGCAGCCGCGGUAAUACGGAGGAUUCGAGCGUUAUCCGGAUUUAUUGGGUUUAAAGGGUGCGUAGGCGGGAUGAUAAGUUAGCGGUAAAAGGUCGGGGCUCAACCCCGGCAGAGCCUUUAAAACUGGCUGACUUGAGAAGACGAGAGGUAUGCGGAAUGCGCGGUGUAGCGGUGAAAUGCUUAGAGAUUGCGCAGAACUCCGAUUGCGAAGGCAGCAUACCGACGGAGAUCUGACGCUGAGGCACGAAAGCGUGGGUAUCGAACAGGAUCAGAUACCCCAGUAGUC